rnacentral:lncRNA from 1 species
AUAUAAACGGCUUCCCAUAGCCAUCUGGCAGAUAAAAUAUUCAAUCAUACCACACAAGCCGGAAAAUAUAAAAAAAAAAGUAUCAAAAUGGGAAAGACAUGUAGAAAACUAUGUCACUAUAUUUGAAUAAGCAACUGAAUGUAUGGAAAAUUGAGAAAAGCAUACAUCAUCACCAAUAAUGAUCAUUUCAAUAAACUGGAAAAUGGGUAUAAACAUUUUGGGACACAUACAUAUGAAAAACCCAUCAUCAAAAUGCUUCACAUACAGUCUCCUCGGCAUUUUGAUGUGCAAUAAUAAAUACCCAUCAUCGACAACUAAUCAUAUGCUUUUCCUCCUUUGAAAAUAUCAAAAGUAGAAUAAAACAACGAAAAUAAAAAUAAAACAGCAACAAGAAGAAGAACGAGAACAUUUAAAGAGGAGUGUGAGAUAUUUGCUUUUUUUUUCCUUUUCCUUUUUCAGAGUGAAACUAUGUAUACAUUUGCCUGGCUCCAUCCUGUCUGCCUUUUAAACACCUACAUUGUACUGGGUCGCUUCUCUUAUCUGUGAAUGCACCAAAAUGACCUUCGAUUUACAAAGGCAAGGUGAGGGAGCAGCUCAUGGUGAGGAAGGGUAGCUCCGUCAUUCCACAAAACCGAAGAGAAAAACAAGCCCUCAACAACAGAAGCCAUUGCAGAACAGUGUAGCCCAGGCAAGCCCAAGAAACACAUAGCUUCUCUUUCUCCGGAGUGUGUCUGGUUUUCAAGGGGUUUACUGAAAGAAAAUAAAUUUAAAAAAAAAAGGAAAAGAAAAGGAAAGAAAAGAAGAGAGAAAACAGGAGAGGCUUGUUUGUAUCUUAAAAGGAAAUUUGAUUGGUAAGGAGAAGGAAGACGCAUUGGUUUCUUGGAUUUGGAAGAGGUCGGUGGUGAAAAGCCAUUUUCAACUUCUUUCUUGUUCCUCUCGUGCUCUAAUACUCACCGUUUUGUCUCUGCUGCCUCUCUCUCUCUCUCCCUCUCUCCCUCUCUCCCUCUCAUGUAAUCCUUUUAGGCUUUUACCUCCUUUGUACAUCGAGAAAUUCAACAACCCAAAAAUAUUAAUAUUCUUCAUAAUACAAAUAUGCAAAUUUUAAAAAAAAAAUUAUAAAUAAAAAUAAAUAGAGAGAUUCUGCUAGUGUUACUUGGGUGGUUCCUGGCGCAUGUAAAAAUACAGGAGCCUCACAGUCACAGCUGUUGUUUUUUGGACUUUAAGGUGACGUAAGGUCUGACCAAGUACUCUCUGCGCAAAUCAAUG